rnacentral:rRNA from 1 species
UACAGAGGGUGCAAGCGUUAAUCGGAAUUACUGGGCGUAAAGCGUGCGUAGACGGUUAUUUAAGUCAGGUGUGAAAGCCCCGGGCUCAACCUGGGAAUUGCAUUUGAGACUGAAUAGCUAGGGUGCGGAAGAGGGAAGCGGAAUUUCCGGUGUAGCGGUGAAAUGCGUAGAUAUCGGAAGGAACACCAGUGGCGAAAGCGGCGCGCUGGAUCUCUUCUGACGCUGAGGCGCGAAAGCCAGGGGAGCGAACGGG